UACGUAGGGCGCAAGCGUUGUCCGGAAUUAUUGGGCGUAAAGAGCUCGUAGGCGGCCAGUUGCGUCCGCUGUGAAAUCCCGGGGCUUAACCCCGGGCGUGCAGUGGAUACGGGCUGGCUGGAGGCAGGCAGGGGAGAACGGAAUUCCUGGUGUAGCGGUGAAAUGCGCAGAUAUCAGGAGGAACACCGGUGGCGAAGGCGGCUCUCUGGACCAUAACUGACGCUGAGACGCGAAAGCUAGGGGAGCAAACAGG
rnacentral:rRNA from 1 species